rnacentral:lncRNA from 1 species
CUGACUUCCCCCAGCUUAACCACAGAGGACAGAAAUGGCUUAUCUCCUUUGGUAUCCCCAAUUUGGCGGACAAGCACAUGAGGUUUUGCAAGGCUUAGAAAGCAAAAUCAUACUGCCAAGGGAUUUCCAGUUGGGUUUGCAAAGAUGAAUCUGGAAGGGCGAAGAGAAUAAACAGUGAUUGCUCAAUGAAACUGGGAAAUGGUUGUAAAGGACUGCAAAAUACAAACCAGUAAAAAUCACAAAUAAGUUAAUUCUGCAGAAGUUUUACUGGAAGCACAAACUGAGUUUUGGAAGCAUUCACAUAUGUCUAAUGAAUAACUCGCAGACAGUGCGAAAGGCCUACUUCAUCUGUCUGGGGUACCUACCAGCCCAUUUGAAGAACUUCCAAUUACUUCAUGCUUCAUCCUCACAGCUCUGCCUUUUCCCUAGGGACUGCUGGACUGUGCUUCACUACUUAAUUACAUUUCAAUUUGUUCUUGAUGGUCAGACAAAAGGAGGAUGCUUCUGUUGCCUUUUCCAAAACAUGCAAAAAAGCUAGAGAAAAUG